rnacentral:rRNA from 1 species
UCAGUAUCGGUCCAGGUGGCCGCCUUCGCCACUGGUGUUCCUUCAUAUAUCUACGCAUUUCACCGCUACACAUGGAAUUCUACCACCCUCUACCGUACUCUAGCCUGACAGUAUCAAAUGCAGUUCCCAGGUUGAGCCCGGGGCUUUCACAUCUAACUUAACAAACCGCCUACGCGCGCUUUACGCCCAGUAAUUCCGAUUAACGCUUGCACCCUCCGU